ensembl:snRNA U5 U5 spliceosomal RNA
UCACGCAGGUCUUCAGAUCGUAUAAAUCUUUCGCCUUUACUAAAGAUUUCCGUGGAGAGGAGCAUGAGUUUCAAAUCAAUUUUUGAUGCUCUGCCCUAAGGUGGGGC